GGAAAAGGCUAAAGAAGAAAAUGGAAGAAAGAAAGAGAGAGGUAAAGGUGAUACUACACCGAGCGGCCGAGUUGACUCGCUGCCGAGUCAGUUAGGUCGAGUUGGGCGUGGGCCUGACUUGGGUUUGGGUCUUAUGAGACUCUAGAGAGAGUAGAAGUAUAAAGUGGAAGGAAGAAAAAAGAAACAAGAAAGGAAAGAGUGGAGAGAAGAGAAUAGAGAAGAAGGGAGGAAGACCGAGUGACUCACCUAAGUUGACUCAUCGAGUUAGCCCCUGAAACACAUGAACUGGGCUUGAUUUAGGUUAGUUCAGCCCUUGUAAGGCCAAGAAUCCUAUUGUGGUGGUACAUUGUGUUCGAUUCAAGUUGGGAGCCAAGUUUCGGCACCAAGUCGAGUUAACUCAGUUUGGACAAGGCAUGUUGAAGGAAUGGCGUUGCAAUCUAACUAAACAAACGGAUUAAAGUAUGAUCGAAAUUGGAUUCAUGAACAUGUGCGAUCAAUUCCAAAUACAUAGGUAGUCGAUUCGACUCUUGAAAGACAUAAGUUUGAUGACAGGUGGAGACCCCUAUGAUAGGAUCCCAAGGGCGGCUGAGGUGGGGUUUAGCGAGGAAGUACUCUAUGUGAAUGUAGUUGAGCCAUUGGAGCUCAAUUGAUAUCUUAGGAUUUUACUUACUUUCAUAUCUUAUACUUUAAGUUUUGUUUGAGCUGUAAUAACAAUUCCCCUGCUGAGGGAUUCCAUGUUACUUUCAUUUACUUGUAUUAAACUUCCUUAUUGUUACUCUUGAUAUU